GAUGAACGCUGGCGGCGUGCCUAAUACAUGCAAGUCGAGCGAAUGGAUUAAGAGCUUGCUCUUAUGAAGUUAGCGGCGGACGGGUGAGUAACACGUGGGUAACCUGCCCAUAAGACUGGGAUAACUCCGGGAAACCGGGGCUAAUACCGGAUAACAUUUUGAACCGCAUGGUUCGAAAUUGAAAGGCGGCUUCGGCUGUCACUGAUGGAUGGACCCGCGUCGCAUUAGCUAGUUGGUGAGGUAACGGCUCACCAAGGCAACGAUGCGUAGCCGACCUGAGAGGGUGAUCGGCCACACUGGGACUGAGACACGGCCCAGACUCCUACGGGAGGCAGCAGUAGGGAAUCUUCCGCAAUGGACGAAAGUCUGACGGAGCAACGCCGCGUGAGUGAUGAAGGCUUUCGAGUCGUAAAACUCUGUUGUUAGGGAAGAACAAGUGCUAGUUGAAUAAGCUGGCACCUUGACGGUACCUAACCAGAAAGCCACGGCUAACUACGUGCCAGCCGCCGCCGUAA
rnacentral:rRNA from 1 species